UGGAUAAGGCGUCGGUCUACGGAACCGAAGAUUCCAGGUUCGAUCCCUGGCAGGAUCA
rnacentral:tRNA from 1 species